GAUGAAGAACGUAGCGAAAUGCGAUAAGUAAUGUGAAUUGCAGAAUUCAGUGAAUCAUCGAAUCUUUGAACGCACAUUGCGCCCCCUGGUAUUCCGGGGGGCAUGCCUGUCCGAGCGUCAUUACAACCCUCAAGCUCAGCUUGGUAUUGGGCCCCGCCGCUUCGGCGGGCCCUAAAGUCAGUGGCGGUGCCGUCCGGCUCCGAGCGUAGUAAUUCUUCUCGCUCUGGAGGCCCGGUCGUGUGCUUGCCAGCAACCCCCAAUUUUUUUCAGGUUGACCUCGGAUCAGGUAGGGAUACCCGCUGAACUUAAGCAUAUCAAUAAGCGAGGA
rnacentral:misc_RNA from 1 species